rnacentral:rRNA from 1 species
GGCCGCGUCGACCAUCUAUCCUCGAUGAAAGGUGGCCUCUACAUGUAAGCUAUCACUGAAGGAGGGGAUUGCGUCAGAUUAGCUAGUUGGCAGGGUAACGGCCUACCAAGGCGACGAUCUGUAGCCGACCUGAGAGGGUGACCGGCCACAUUGGGACUGAGACACGGCCCAAACUCCUACGGGAGGCAGCAGUGGGGAAUAUUGCACAAUGGGGAAACCCUGAUGCAGCGACGCCGCGUGAGCGAAGAAGUAUUUCGGUAUGUAAAGCUCUAUCAGCAGGGAAGAUAAUGACGGUACCUGACUAAGAAGCUCCGG